CGUCCAUCUACUAUCAUUUUCUUUCUCUCUCUUUUAAUCCUCCUCUCUACAAGCCUGUAUCUCUCUCCUUACCAUCUCUCUCACUUCCUUACAAUGCUUCUGCCUUCAUCAUUCCCCUCACAGCCACCACGCCAACCUCACAAUCUCCUUCCUCUUUCGGCCAUGGGCGAACCGGUCAGCCUGUCCGACUAAGUAGCAGAACGUCGAGUGUUUGAUGGCAUCAGCAAUCCGGUGGAGUUUUCCAGCAUAGACCAUCAAUGGUGGAGCUGGACCAUGGCGAUCGGCAAAGCAGAUCGGAUGUGGCGAACUGGCUCUCCCUCUCGGCGACUUAUUUUCCUUCUCCGACAAACUGUAGCGACGGUAGUGGCGUGUGGUGUCGUAAACAAUGGGUGAAGGUGAAAGUAGAGAUGAGGAUGAUAGCUUACAUAUGAUGACUAUGGAUACGUAGAGAUGAUGAUAAUUAAGGUUAUUGGUCAGGUUGCUAUAGAGUGUGGUGUGAACGGGAACCUAGGCUUCUAUGAUUAAUUUUGCAGGUGACGAUUGCAUGAUUUGGAGCAUGAGAGUGUUACACCCUUCUAGAUUAAUCUUUGGAGUUUAUUUUAUUAAAUAGUCUAGAGGUUGUAUUUAAAAGAAAUGUAUUUAAUUAAUUGUACUAGUAUUGGUUUUGGAUUUUUUUUUUAGUAGAGUUGUUUUUAGCAUGUGCGUUUAGAUAUAAGAAUUAUCUAAAUGUGGCGGUAGCAUCCCUAUUUUUCUAUUGUUUGUUUUUGGGCUUUCGCAAAAUUGAAGGUGAUUUUUAAUUAAAUAAAUCCCGUUUUAAUAAA